UGGGGAAUAUUGCACAAUGGGGGAAACCCUGAUGCAGCGACGCCGCGUGAGCGAAGAAGGCUUUCGAGUCGUAAAGCUCUGUCCUAUGAGAAGAUAAUGACGGUAUCAUAGGAGGAAGCCCUGGCUAAAUACGUGCCAGCAGCCGCGGUAAUACGUAUGGGGCUAGCGUUGUCCGGAAUCACUGGGCGUAAAGGGUUCGCAGGCGGAAAUGCAAGUCAGGUGUAAAAGGCAGUAGCUUAACUACUGUAAGCAUUUGAAACUGCAUAUCUUGAGAAGAGUAGAGGUAAGUGGAAUUUUUAGUGUAGCGGUGAAAUGCGUAGAUAUUAAAAAGAAUACCGGUGGCGAAGGCGACUUACUGGGCUCAUUCUGACGCUGAGGAACGAAAGCGUGGGUAGCAAACAGG
rnacentral:rRNA from 1 species